CUGGGAAUUCCAUGCUACUGCUGCUGCAGAGCUUUUGCAUGAAGAUGUCAGGACCCAGGACUAGAAAGCAGAAGGAGGAUCUUUCAUGCCAGACAGGAUUCCACCAUGUUGGCCAGCCUGGUCUUGAUCUCCUGACCUCAGGUGAUCCACCCACCUUGGCCUCCCAAAGUGCUGGGAUUACAGACAUGAGCCACCGCACCCGGCCAGUCUCUGACUGGUUUUGAAGCCUCCUGAAAAGAAGUAGGUGUUACAAAUUUAGUUUGGUUGAUAAAUGUGCAUUGAAACUUCUCCAGUUGAGUUAUUGUUGACCAAGCAGAUGGAAACUUGGAAUGAUGUACCACGAGUAAGCUCACCAUCCUUCUAUCCACAUACCUAAAUAUCUCAAAAACCAAGUCUCCAAAGCCCUACAUUUCUUAGACCAUGACUAAAUGCUAACACUUUUGCCUGAGUGUAUGUGUCUAGAAAUAAAUAUGUACCAACAAGUUCAUAAUUUUUAACUAAAUUUAAUUGUGCUUUCGAAACUUGGAACAGCUAGUAGAUAAUAAGUGUGUUUGGAAGUGAUCGUUUUAAAUUCAGCAUUUAAGCAAAGAUCUCUGCGAAUCAUCUAAGCAUUUGCUUUUCAUCACUCCAUCAAAGUGUUUCUUAAUUUUAACACAAAUGGGCCUGCGGGCGGAAGACUCCUACACAAGAGGGAAAAAAACUCUUCCUAGACGUGGCUAGUAUAACAACAACACAGGGACAUAAAAUGAAGGAGAACUAAGAAAUAUUCUCUUGAAAGUGAACUGACUGAACUGAAUUUUUAGCCAAGCAAUGUGCAGGAAUGAAGUAAUUUUGGUAUUUCUGACCUCCUCUUCAAAGAUGUUCCAAAUUUCACAUCUUCUGGUGUAGACAGUGUCUCAACAAUGCUCCACAGUAAACUUAUUCUCUGAUACACCAACACAGGAAGAAGUUUUGGGAGAUGAAUUAUUUAUGAUGAACUUUGAAGAUCGCAGGAUUUCACAAGGUUAAAGUUGACAAAAGGCAAAGAAUCUCCUCAGGAAAAAACAAUCACAUAUGAGUAAAAGUUAAUGGUAGAAAGUAACCAUGGCUCAGACUACCUCUUCUGUGAAAGUAUUUUCUUGUAUUCUCAAUGAAAAGUGCUCUUUUUCUGAUUUGGCUCGUCAAUCUUAAUCUCUACAAAUUCUAUCGAGUGCAUAAAGGGUGAAUUCUGCAUCCCACAUGAAGUUGCAUAGGUUGUAAGUGGUUGUAGCACAUACUUACUGACUUAUUCAACACUUGCAAAGCACUUACUGUGUGCCAUGAGCCAUGCCUGAUGCUGAAGUUACUAAGAAAGUAAAAGUCAAAUAACAGAGCCAGAUUUUUAAAAUUCUAACACAAUGGUGUAUGUGUUUUGAUAAUGUAUUAUCCAAACAUUUAUUAAUAAGAAUAUAAUAUGUCCCAGUUUGCCCAUCUUACACCUGUUGUGCCCAUGGAAUGAUUAAUAGCAUCCUGGUUUAGAUGGCAAAUCACAUACUUAACCCUAUUUAUUAAACAACUCACACAUGUCAAGCACCAGAAAUACAAGAAAAUUUCUCCAUUUAAGGAGUUGAAUAUUUAGUAGAGAUAAUAGUCAAAUAAAUAAUUUUAAUACAUGUGAUAAAUGUUAUAUAUUAUAGAUACAUGUAGAAUGCCUUCAAAGUUUAUUUGUAGCAUAUCUGUUCCAGACCAGGCACCAAGAAUACUUUUCAGUGUCCUUUCGGACAGGUAGUCUUAAAUGAAUAAACGAGUUAAGUGAAGAAAGAAUGUUUCAAAUAGAAGAUGUAGUUGCCCAUGCAAAGGAACAAGAGAGGGUGCAGCAAUUUUCAAGAACUAAAAGCAUUUGAUCUGUCUGGAACAUUGCCUGCAAGCACGGAGGGACGGGAGGUGGAGCUGGAGGGGUAAUAGCUGCAUCAUGAAGGAUCUCAUAUGAUAAUUUAAGGUCUGAACUGAAUACUGAGGCUUGAGACGUUAUUGGUGCGUAAAACACUGGGUUGCUUUAACAUAACAUGGAGCACAAAAUAGAGCGGGCAUGAGUACAGAGAGAGGUAAGCAGACAUUUUGGGGUGAGAUUUACAUAAAAUCUCUUUAAGUGACCUUAAUUUGGCAUCAGUUUUUUUUCUCCUUCAUUUUAUUGCUUUCUGCUUGGAAUAGGAAUGUGAUGUCUGGAUUCCAGCAAACAUCUUGUGACCUUGAGGAAGAAAGUGACAUGUAGUGAAUGAGCGAGGCAAAAAUAAUGAGUCUGGAUUUUUACAACUUUGUGCAUUCAUCUUCCUAGUUAUAGAUCACCUACAUUUGCACUACCCCAUCCCUGUUACUCUCCUUCCACAGCGUGAACCUGAUCCUCUAACUGGUGUGCAUCAUUCCAUAACUACUUAUUUUAUUGCAUAUGAAUCUAAAAUAAAUUUAUCAUCUUGCAUUAUAUUAAUUAGGAUGCAUA
rnacentral:lncRNA from 1 species